GUCCUGUGGCUCAGUGGUUAGAGCGCUCGCCUGGGAAGCGAGAGACCUGGGUUCGAUUCCUGUCGAGGAGAAACA